rnacentral:rRNA from 1 species
GACGAACGCUGGCGGCGUGCUUAACACAUGCAAGUCGAACGGUAAGGCCCUUCGGGGUACACGAGUGGCGAACGGGUGAGUAACACGUGGGUGAUCUGCCCUGCACUUCGGGAUAAGCCUGGGAAACUGGGUCUAAUACCGGAUAGGACCACUGCCUGCAUGGGCGGUGGUGGAAAGCUUUGGAGGUGUGGGAUGGGCCCGCGGCCUAUCAGCUUGUUGGUUGGGUGAUGGCCUACCAAGGCGACGACGGGUAGCCGGCCGGAGAGGGUGACCGGCCACACUGGGACUGAGAUACGGCCCAGACUCCUACGGGAGGCAGCAGUGGGGAAUAUUGCACAAUGGGCGCAAGCCUGAUGCAGCGACGCCGCGUGAGGGAUGACGGCCUUCGGGUUGUAAACCUCUUUCAGCACCGACGAAGCACAAGUGACGGUAGGUGCAGAAGAAGGACCGGCCAACUACGUGCCAGCCGCCGCAGUAA